ensembl:snRNA Gm23958 U6 spliceosomal RNA
AUGUUCACUUCGCAGAACUUAUACUAAAAUUUAAAUGAUAAAGAAAAAAUAAUGUGGUCCCUGGAAAAGGAAGACAUGCAAAUUCAUGAAACAUUCUAUGAUUU